CAACGUGGGCAACCUGCCUCAUAGAGGGGAAUAGCCUUCCGAAAGGGAGAUUAAUACCGCAUAAGAUUGUAGCUUCGCAUGAAGUAGCAAUUAAAGGAGCAAUCCGCUAUGAGAUGGGCCCGCGGCGCAUUAGCUAGUUGGUGAGGUAACGGCUCACCAAGGCGACGAUGCGUAGCCGACCUGAGAGGGUGAUCGGCCACAUUGGGACUGAGACACGGCCCAGACUCCUACGGAAGGCAGCAG
rnacentral:rRNA from 1 species